rnacentral:ncRNA from 1 species
UCAAAGUGAAGAACUUCAACCAAGUGUGGGUAAACGACAGGAGUAACUAUGACUCUAUUAAGGUGGCUAGAUGUCUCAUCAUCUAAUUAGUGACACACAUGAAUGGAUCAUUAACUAGAUUCCUUAGUGUCCCUAGCUACUAUAUUAUAGAGAAACCACAUCCAAGGGAAUGUGCUUGGAAGAUUAGCGGGGAAAGAAGACCCAGUUGAGCUUGACUCUAGUCCUAACCCAUUCAUAGUUUGGGAAAAGU